UAACCUGGUUGAUCCUGCCAGUAGUCAUAUGCUUGUCUCAAAGACUAAGCCAUGCACGUCUAAGUACAAACUAAAUGAUGGUGAAACUGCAAAUGGCUCAUUACAACGGUUAUGAUGUACCCGGGAGUUCCGAUGGAUAUUUCCAGUAACACUAGAACUAAUACAUGUCCCUGCGUUUAUUAGUUUCGCACAGUCCGUCGCUGAGUCAUGGUAAACAGUUGAUCGACUCGACGUCCCGGAACAGUUUCCGCCCCAUCAGCUUCGAUGGUUGGGUAUUGGCCUACCAUUGCAACAACGGGUAACGAGGAAUUAGGGUUUGAUUUCGGAGAGGGAGCCUGAGAAACGGCUACCACAUCUACGGAUGGCAGCAGGCGCGCAAAUUACCCAAUGCAGACACUGUGAGGUAGUGACGAGAAAUAAUAAAGCGGGACUUCUGUUUCGCUAUUAUAAUGAGGAAUAACCAAAGGUCAUUCCGAUUAGCAACUGAUGGGAAAGUCUGGUGCCAGCAGCCGCGGUAAUACCAGCGUCAGUAGCAUAUAUUAAAAUUGUUGCAGUUAAAACGUCCGUAGUCUGUACGUCGUCCUAAACUCACUGCAGUCUUCCGUUUUCUUAAUUGAAUGCGGUAGUUUCUGCAGUCACUCCCUUGAUCAAAUUAGGUUGUUCAAGGUAGACCAAGUCUUCAUAUUUUCACAUGGAAUUGGGUGAGGGAACUUAAGAGUUUAAGUUUCUCGUCUUAGGAUCAUCCGGGGUCAUUCGUACUCGUCCGCGAGAGGUGAAAUUCUUGGACCGGACGAAGACGACCAGCAGCGAAAGCAUCUGUCAGGGAUGUUUUCUGCGACAAAGGACGAAGGUCAGGGUAUCGAAGACGAUUAGAUACCGUCGUAGUCCUGACUGUAAACUAUGCCAACUUGGGUCUUGCUGGGCGAUGCUUUGUGAGACCCACACAGAAAUGAAAGUGUAUGGGUUCUGGGGGUAGUAUGGACACAAGUCUGAAACUUGAAGGAAUUGACGGAAGAGCACCAUAAGACGUGGAGCUUGCGGCUUAAUUUGACUCAACGCGGGAAAACUUACCAGGUCAAGACAUGGGCGUGAUUGACAGGCUAAUGACUUUUCUCGAUUCCAUGGAUGGUGGUGCAUGGUCGCACUUAGUUGGUGCAGUGAUUUGUCAGGUUUAUUCCGGUAACGAACGAGACCUCAGCCU
rnacentral:rRNA from 1 species